rnacentral:rRNA from 1 species
UGCCAGCAGCCGCGGUAACACGGGGGGCGCAAGCGUUAUUCGGAAUUAUUGGGCGUAAAGGGCGCGCAGGCGGUCUUGUCAGUCAGGUGUGAAAGCCCGGGGCUCAACCCCGGACGUGCAUUUGAAACAGUAAGACUUGAGUACGGGAGAGGAAAGCGGAAUUCCUGGUGUAGAGGUGAAAUUCGUAGAUAUCAGGAGGAACACCGAUGGCGAAGGCAGCUUUCUGGACAGAUACUGACGCUGAGGUGCGAAGGUGUGGGUAGCGAACAGGAUUAGAUA